rnacentral:rRNA from 1 species
UACGGAGGUGGCAAGCGUUGCUCGGAAUCACUGGGCGUAAAGGGCGCGUAGGCGGGGAGGUAAGUCGGGUGUGAAAUCCCUCGGCCCAACUGAGGAACUGCGCCCGAGACUGCUUCUCUUGAGUCCCGGAGAGGAAGAUGGAAUUCCCGGUGUAGCGGUGAAAUGUGUAGAGAUCGGGAGGAACACCGGUGGCGAAGGCGGUCUUCUGGACGGUGACUGACGCUGAGGCGCGAAAGCGUGGGGAGCAAACGGGAUUGAGAUACCC